rnacentral:rRNA from 1 species
UAUCUCUGUAGAGUCUGCAUAUCAAUAAGCGGAGGAAAAGAAACUAACUAGGAUUCCCUCAGUAACGGCGAGUGAAGCGGGAAGAGCUCAAAUUUGAAAUCUUUAAGGUUCUACCUUGACGAAUUGUAGUUUAAAGAAGUGUUUUCUGUUGGAGUUUUGGUAAAAGUUCUUUGGAAUAGGACAUCAUAGAGGGUGAGAAUCCCGUAUUUGACCAUUAUCUUCCAGCUGUGUGAUACACUUUCAAAGAGUCGGAUUGUUUGGGAAUGCAGUCCAAAAUGGGUGGUAAAUUUCAUCUAAAGCUAAAUAUUGGCGAGAGACCGAUAGCGAACAAGUACCGUGAGGGAAAGAUGAAAAGAACUUUGAAAAGAGAGUUAAACAGUACGUGAAAUUGUCAAAAGGGAAGCGUUUGACACCAGUGUUGUUUUUCUCGAAAAUCAAUUACGAAAUGGCAUUGAUUCUGUGUUGUAUUGACCUUAUCAGCUAUUCUGCACUUUUUCUAGUCUUUCUUAAUGCACUUUUCGGUUAACAAGUCAACAUCAAUUUCUUUUGUUGUAAAAGAGUAUUCGGAAGGUGGCCUUCUUUUCGGAGAAAGUGUUUAUAGCCCUAUGACUUCUACAAUCGGAGAGAUUGAGGUCUGCAGCGUAGAUCCUUCGGGGUUAGAUACAUUUGUGCUAAGUUAUAGCUUUUCAUAGACAACUUGUUGACUAUGAUUAGUCAUGUCGCUUACUCGCUUAUGCUAUUUUACCUACGCUUAGGAUGUUGAAGAUGUAGCACAUCAU